rnacentral:rRNA from 1 species
AAGGGAAACCGAGUCUUAACUGGGCGUUAAGUUGCAGGGUAUAGACCCGAAACCCGGUGAUCUAGCCAUGGGCAGGUUGAAGGUUGGGUAACACUAACUGGAGGACCGAACCGACUAAUGUUGAAAAAUUAGCGGAUGACUUGUGGCUGGGGGUGAAAGGCCAAUCAAACCGGGAGAUAGCUGGUUCUCCCCGAAAGCUAUUUAGGUAGCGCCUCGUGAACUCAUCUUCGGGGGUAGAGCACUGUUUCGGCUAGGGGGUCAUCCCGACUUACCAACCCGAUGCAAACUGCGAAUACCGAAGAAUGUUAUCACGGGAGACACACGGCGGGUGCUAACGUCCGUCGUGAAGAGGGAAACAACCCAGACCGCCAGCUAAGGUCCCAAAGUCACAGUUAAGUGGGAAACGAUGUGGGAAGGCUCAGACAGCCAGGAUGUUGGCUUAGAAGCAGCCAUCAUUUAAAGAAAGCGUAAUAGCUCACUGGUCGAGUCGGCCUGCGCGGAAGAUGUAACGGGGCUAAACUGUGCACCGAAGCUGCGGCAGCGACGCUUAUG